rnacentral:rRNA from 1 species
AACGAACGCUGGCGGCAUGCCUUACACAUGCAAGUCGAACGGUAGAGUAGCAAUACUCGAGAGUGGCGAACGGGUGAGUAAUAUAUCGGAACGUGCCCAGUCGUGGGGAUAACGUAGAGAAAUUUACGCUAAUACCGCAUACGAUCUAAGGAUGAAAGCGGGGGAUUCGCAAGAACCUCGCGCGAUUGGAGCGGCUGAUAUCAGAUUAGGUAGUUGGUGAGGUAAAGGCUCACCAAGCCGACGAUCUGUAGCUGGUCUGAGAGGACGACCAGCCACACUGGGACUGAGACACGGCCCAGACUCCUACGGGAGGCAGCAGUGGGGAAUUUUGGACAAUGGGCGCAAGCCUGAUCCAGCAAUGCCGCGUGCAGGAUGAAGGGCC